AUUGAACGCUGGCGGCAGGCCUAACACAUGCAAGUCGAGCGGAUGAAGGGAGCUUGCUCCUGGAUUCAGCGGCGGACGGGUGAGUAAUGCCUAGGAAUCUGCCUGGUAGUGGGGGAUAACGUCCGGAAACGGGCGCUAAUACCGCAUACGUCCUGAGGGAGAAAGGGGGGGAUCUUCGGACCUCACGCUAUCAGAUGAGCCUAGGUCGGAUUAGCUAGUUGGUGGGGUAAAGUCCUACCAAGGCGACGAUCCGUAACUGGUCUGAGAGGAUGAUCAGUCACACUGGAACUGAGACACGGUCCAGACUCCUACGGGAGGCAGCAGUGGGGAAUAUUGGACAAUGGGCGAAAGCCUGAUCCAGCCAUGCCGCGUGUGUGAAGAAGGUCUUCGGAUUGUAAAGCACUUUAAGUUGGGAGGAAGGGCAGUAAGUUAAUACCUUGCUGUUUUGACGUUACCAACAGAAUAAGCACCGGCUAACUUCGUG
rnacentral:rRNA from 1 species